GGACUCCGUUUGGACUAAUCUUGGGCUCGUUGGACUUCUCACGGAUCUCGCUGUGGACUCAAUUUGGACCAAAUCUCAAGGCAUCAAAUCCUAAUAGAGCAUAGAUCCAGAUAGAGAUCGAAGGUUGGAGCUACCUAGGCCCUAAAAGAUGAAGGAUCGCACUUAUUGCUAGGAAAUGAGUAGGUACUGACAUUUCUAAAGGAACCAUGGAUAUGAUACCAAAGAGUGCUCAUAAUUAAAAGAUGAGUAAGGGCACCUCAAUGAAUAUAUAGAAGACCAAUGAAGAUGAGGAAACAUCGG
rnacentral:lncRNA from 1 species